ensembl:lncRNA
AGAAAAUAUACAAAUAAUUCAAAAAAUUAACAAAAACUAUAAUAGUACCUGAAUGAUAUUAAAAUAUGAUAUUAAAAUAUCAUUGCUUUAUAAUUUGUCGGAGAACAGGAUCGGAGGAGCGCUGGAGCAUCUAAGGGUAAGUAUAGCUAGGUUAGUAGCGUGAGAGUCAGGUAAGUUUGGGUAAGUGAACUGUAGACGAUGAGAGACUGAGAGCGGAGUGUUUAUGGAGAGGGCUUGAUUACAGGAUGCAGGUGAUCAAUAAUCAGGUGACUGAGAUCUGGUGUGUGUCUGGGCUGGUGACUGAGGUGAUGACGGUGACUGUGAUUGUGCAGAAUCCCUGAUAUUACCCCCUCCUCCAGGGGCGGCUCCUGAUGCCCUCAAGCGGUGACCAGGGCGACCAUGGCCACUGGGGGUGGAACAAUCGGGAUGGGUGCGAUGAAAUUCAGCCAACAGAGUAGGGUCAAGCACAUCAUCCUGGGCCACCCAGGAUCUUUCCUCUGGCCCGUAUCCUUCCCAAGUCAAUCAGGUACUCUAGCCAACCACCCCGUCGCCGUGAAUCCAGAAUGUCCUGAACCGGGUAGAUGGAUGGCUGGUCCAGGAUUUCUGGAGGAGGAGGUGCUCCCGGCUUAGUGGGUCCUGUUGCAGAUGGAGAGAAUCGUUUAAGGAGGAAAACAUGGAAGACAGCAGUGUGUGACCACCCAGCCGCACAGGAGCACAGCACGGACCCACUGCACCGGGAAGAAGGAAGCGUGCACUAACGGCACUGGAGCACCCACCUGGACCUUUCCCUUUUGCACUCCCUUUGUAAAUAAAUCCACUCUCCA